rnacentral:rRNA from 1 species
UUUAGAGGAAGUACAAGUCGUAACAAGGUCUCCGGUUUGGUGAACCAGCGGAGGGAUCAUUA